CCCUCGGGCGCCGCCGACUAGAACGCCGGCACCCUCGCGCCCCGGCUGUGGCGGGAAAAGCCCGCGCCGCCAGCCUGCCCUCAGUCCCGCGCUCCUGGCCCCGCUCACUUGACGAGUAGCGCGGGUCCGUGUUGGCGCCGUACCAGCCGGUGGCAGCGGCCGCCGCGCCGCCCCGCAUGCCGUCCGUGUAGGCGGGCAGCUCACCCAUGUUGCCCAGGCCGCCGUUGCAGUAGCCGCCCAUGGCGCUGUGCGGGAACUGUGAGACGCCGGGAGGCAUGUGGUCUCCUCGAUGGGGCUCAGGAUGUCGGACACAGAGAAGGGCGUCGUGUGCUUGGGGCUCAACGACAUGGCUCGGCGGACCGCCAGGUUCCUUUAAAUGAUGACAGAUGGGAAAAGGAUUCACUCAUUCAUAGAAUUCCAAACCAGAAAUUUCUGACUGUUCAACAGGAUCAAGUUCAUGGAAUCAAAGAAUUUUUUGCUGGAAAUACUUGGUAAAAAUGAAAACUUGAUAUAUAGAUACUUCAGAAAAUCAAAAUAAGGGCUAGAGAAAUGACUCAGCAAUUAAGAGCCCUUACUGCUUUUUCAGAGGAUCUGAGUUUGGUUCCUUGUUUCCCCAGGCCAGAUGCUCUCAAAUACCUGUAACACUUGCUCCAAGGUGUCCAACAUCUUUGCCAUCUGAACUCAUUUGUACACACACACUUAAAAAUAAUAUUUUUAAAAAAUAAUGAAAAAUAACCACUGAUCAAAUU